UAAUAGCACAUACAAUUUUUAAAACGUUACCAUAGAGGAGUUAACCCUAAUAAUUAUUUAGUGCCCGCCUCUAUUUUUCAUGGCCGCCAAUGUUUUUUGGUACAAAAAUUUUUGACUUAUUUUUAUCUGUGAACUAAAAGACAUUUCGGUGGCUGCUCCUUAACUAGGUGAAAUGGAGAGAAACAAGAUAGAGAGCAUAUGAAAACAUCGAUUAUCUUCUACUUGAGCGAAAAUCAAUUGAGUGAAUCAAUUUCUCGUUUGCACUUCCACAUCAUUUACCCAUCGCCGGUUCCUUUUCCGCUUCAUCUACCACUUCCCAAUCUUUUUCUUUCACCAAAUCCUCAAACCCUAGUUCCAGAUUUGGCUGUUUAGGAUCCACCAUUUCGGAUCCUGCUUCGUCCGCAACUUCACCGGCCUCUUAACCUGCGCUUCAAUCGACUGUUACACCAUCAUCUCUGUUCGGAGCCUCUUCUUCCUCAUAUCCACUUUCAUCUCUCUUCGAAGCAGCGCCAGCAAGUGCUUUCAAGUCUUGGUAUCUUGAUUUUGUUUUUUUAAAUAUGAGAGUUCUUAAGGUCGCUCCUACUUCUCAUCAUAUGGUUUAUGCAGAUUCAAUUUUGGGCGCUAGAGAUGGCGGUGGUUGUUAGUCUCAGUUUUGGAGAAUUAUCUCUACUAGAGAAUUGAUUAGGUUUCUUCCUCAUACUCGUUCCUCAAGCUCUUGGCAAAGGAGGAAGCUAAUAAUGAUGAUGAUAUCGGAGAAGACGUUUCAAAGAUUGAGGUCCAAGCGGUCUAAGGGUGUGAAGAAUUGAGAAGUUAAAAACAAGAGUAGUAUGAAAUUUAUCUUUAAUUUGUACUUUUACUUUGUAAUAUAAGUCUUUUGUAUAUGAUUUUCAUAUAAAUGUAAUAAAAUAUGACAUUUUAUUUUAA